GCCAGCGGAGACGGUGCCACGAAAGGGCACCAAACCAAACCAGUUUUUUUUUUGCUGCUCAUGCAUUAUACAUUGGGUAUAGAGGGUCCAUGCAGUCUCUCUUGCAAAUGGUGAGAGGGAAACAGGAGCAAUGGCUAUUUGUGACUUCACUCCAGACCAUCACUGUCCUCCCUCUCAGGUCUUCGGGCGACACGUAGCACUCUGGGUCCUCCUCCCCUGGUGUGCGGGGCUUACACUUCCCACAACAGCAGUUGAAACAGCAGCACAGACAGCAGCAGAAGUAGCAGCCCGUCAGCAGGCCGCAGAUCGCAAACAAGCC